rnacentral:lncRNA from 1 species
AUAAUUUCGGAUAUUUGGCUCACAACAUUCGGAUAAUUUUUAUUUUUACAUUGGCAACACUGAAAGGGACAAGGAACUUCCGAAUAUGGCCUAACUGGGGGCACAUAACAUAACAUAACCUAAUCCUAAUAUUUACAUUUGUAAAGAAUAUCCUGUUUGUUUUUAUUGUCGAUUGUGCAGCGAAAUUGUGUGCAGCAAAUCAAAUAUAAAGUAGUUUAUCGCCUACAGAACUGAAUUAGUCCAUAGCAGUUAUCAGUUUUUCUUUCUUGGGAAGCUUAUACAUGUAACUUGUAUUGUUGUAAAUUGUGGGAGUAGGGCAGACAGGGAAAAGUCUUAUUUUGUACUGUUCCCAAGGCUCCCCAUGCAAUAUAUUUAAAUGAAUUAUCCAAACAAAGCCGGGGACAAUGGAUAAAAGCCACAAGAAGAACAGAUAUAAGGGAACUAAAAUUAAAAUAUGAAAAGUAAACAUUUUAUAAGUGGAACAACCACCAGAUAUUUAAAAGGUAUAAAAAGAAGAAACUGCUGGAAUUUCAAAACAAAUGUGUUUGACUAGUAAAGAUUUGGAUAAAUAACAGGAGUUACUUUGGGCUAUAGCUACGUGCAGAUUUAUUUCCUUGUGGCUUCCUAUGUUAAUUCUUGUUAAUUAUACACUUAAAUACGUUUUUAGUCUCAGGAAGAUUUUAUAUUUGAUUAUUUUUGAAUAAACAUUAUUAUUAUUAUUA